GGAAUAUUGGACAAUGGGCGAAAGCCUGAUCCAGCAAUGCCGCGUGAGUGAUGAAGGCCUUAGGGUUGUAAAGCUCUUUUACCCGAGAUGAUAAUGACAGUAUCGGGAGAAUAAGCUCCGGCUAACUCCGUGCCAGCAGCCGCGGUAAUACGGAGGGAGCUAGCGUUGUUCGGAAUUACUGGGCGUAAAGCGCACGUAGGCGGCUUUUCAAGUCAGGGGUGAAAUCCCGGGGCUCAACCCCGGAACUGCCUUUGAAACUGGAUGGCUAGAAUCCUGGAGAGGCGAGUGGAAUUCCGAGUGUAGAGGUGAAAUUCGUAGAUAUUCGGAAGAACACCAGUGGCGAAGGCGACUCGCUGGACAGGUAUUGACGCUGAGGUGCGAAAGUGUGGGGAGCAAAC
rnacentral:rRNA from 1 species